rnacentral:lncRNA from 1 species
CUGGAUUUCAAGGGAGAAAUACAGAUAUAUAGAUGACGAGUCUUAGGUAUCUACAUGAUAUUUAGAGAAAUGAAACUCUGGUGAGAUCACUAAAGGAAUAAUGGUCAGUAGAGAAAAGAGAAGGUUCAAGGGCCCUUCGUUGGUGCAGCCCUAAAUUUCUGGUAGUGUUUCUCAGCUUUGGCUGCAAGUAGAAUUACCAAGAGACCUUAAAAAGAAAUACUGAUGCCUGGGUCCCACUUCUAAAGGUUCAGUUUUAAUUGUGCUGGUCAAGGCACUCCCUGGGUGUCAUGGAAGUGAGAGUAUAUCACUUUUGCUAUAUUCUGUUCCUUAGGAGCAAGUCUCUAGGUCCAAUGCGUACUCAAGAGAAGGGGAUUGUACAAGGGCAUGAACAGCAGGAGGUGGGAUCAUUGAGGGCCUUCUUGAAAAGCAGUCUACAGAAGUACGUGCUCAUGAGUGUCGAUGCAAAAAUUGUACCGGACAACGUCGGAGAGGAACUAUGUGAAUGUUGUUGCAACUGCAAGCCAUAUUAAAUAAUCUCCUAUUUCACACUAAAACAGAAGAAACACAGUGAGUACCUCUAUUUGCUUCCCCUAGAUCCAGUGGUCAUUACCAUUUUACACCCUUUCUUU